GUGGGGAAUCUUCCGCAAUGGACGAAAGUCUGACGGAGCAACGCCGCGUGAGUGAAGAAGGUUUUCGGAUCGUAAAGCUCUUUCGUUAGGGACGAACGUGCUCUUUGUGAAUAAUGAGGAGUAAUGACGGUACCUAAAUAAGAAGCCACGGCUAACUACGUGCCAGCAGCCGCGGUAAUACGUAGGGGGCAAGCGUUGUCCGGAAUUAUUGGGCGUAAAGCGCGCGCAGGCGGGAUAUCAAGUCUGUCUUAAAAGUGCGAGGCUCAACCUCGUGAGGGGACAGAAACUGGUAUUCUUGAGUGUCGGAGAGGAAAGUGGAAUUCCAAGUGUAGCGGUGAAAUGCGUAGAGAUUUGGAAGAACACCAGUGGCGAAGGCGACUUUCUGGACGAUGUCUGACGCUGAGGCGCGAAAGCUAGGGGAGCGAACGGGAUUAGAAACCCUAGUAGUCC
rnacentral:rRNA from 1 species